AUCUCUGCCGUCCUGCAAAAGUAGUUUCCAUUGUUGAAUGCUAAUAUUGGUGAAUGUGACAUAAAGGUUGAGAGAUUUAAUUCUAGUUGGUGAACUUUACUCCUCAUUCACUGCCCUUGGAUUUUGAAAGGGCUAAUUCAUUGGGAACUGCGACGCCUUGUGUACUAAAAAUGCUAAGUAAAAAUGCUACGUCAAUGCUGCAUCUUUCCUCACCGCCUUUAAAAGAACAAUGAAUUGACUUAGUGGACUACUUUAUGGAUUUGAUAAUUGAGAGAUUCAAGCCAUCAGAAGAAACUAAAUUAAUUCCAUUCCCAAAAAGUGUCAGAAGAAAUUUGGUACUUAAGAGCCUGCCUUGAGAUUGUAUCUUCAUCAAAACAAAUGAAGAAAUAGAAAAAUAAUAAUGUGGAAUAUUGUUGGGGAUCACUUUAAGAAGAUUGGGAUGGAUAACGAAAGAAAGUGAUAAGUGCUUUUCAUGUGGCUUUCAUGAGUGAAUGUAGUUAUGGCUUAUCUCAAUAGAAUAUUGUAAGCUUCUAUUGAUUGUGUUUAAGUUCUUUUAUGCUGCAUCCGUUAUAAUAUUGUUUUUCUUUUCGGGAA